GACGAACGCUGGCGGCGCGCCUAACACAUGCAAGUCGAACGAGCGAGAGAGAGCUUGCUUUCUCGAGCGAGUGGCGAACGGGUGAGUAACGCGUGAGGAACCUGCCUCAAAGAGGGGGACAACAGUUGGAAACGACUGCUAAUACCGCAUAAGCCCCGACCCGGCAUCGGGAAGAGGGAAAAGGAGCAAUCCGCUUUGAGAUGGCCUCGCGUCCGAUUAGCUAGUUGGUGAGGUAACGGCCCACCAAGGCAACGAUCGGUAGCCGGACUGAGAGGUUGAACGGCCACAUUGGGACUGAGACACGGCCCAGACUCCUACGGGAGGCAGCAGUGGGGAAUAUUGCACAAUGGGGGAAACCCUGAUGCAGCGACGCCGCGUGGAGGAAGAAGGUCUUCGGAUUGUAAACUCCUGUUGUUGAGGAAGAUAAUGACGGUACUCAACAAGGAAGUGACGGCUAACUACGUGCCAGCAGCCGCGGUAAAACGUAGGUCACAAGCGUUGUCCGGAAUUACUUGGUGUAAAGGGAGCGCAGGCGGGAAGACAAGUUGGAAGUGAAAUCCAUGGGCUCAACCCAUGAACUGCUUUCAAAACUGUUUUUCUUGAGUAGUGCAGAGGUAGGCGGAAUUCCCGGUGUAGCGGUGGAAUGCGUAGAUAUCGGGAGGAACACCAGUGGCGAAGGCGGCCUACUGGGCACCAACUGACGCUGAGGCUCGAAAGUGUGGGUAGCAAACAGGAUUAGAUACCCUGGUAGCCCACACCGUAAACGAUGAUAAUGGGUGUUGGAGGAUUACCCCUUCAGUGCCGCAGUUAACACAAUAAGUAAUCCACCUGGGGAGUACGACCGCAAGGUUGAAACUCAAAGGAAUUGACGGGGGCCCGCACAAGCAGUGGAGUAUGUGGUUUAAUUCGACGCAACGCGAAGAACCUUACCAAGUCUUGACAUCCCUUGACGAUGCUGGAAACAGUAUUUCUCUUCGGAGCAAGGAGACAGGUGGUGCAUGGUUGUCGUCAGCUCGUGUCGUGAGAUGUUGGGUUAAGUCCCGCAACGAGCGCAACCCUUAUGGUCAGUUACUACGCAAGAGGACUCUGGCCAGACUGCCGUUGACAAAACGGAGGAAGGUGGGGAUGACGUCAAAUCAUCAUGCCCUUUAUGACUUGGGCUACACACGUACUACAAUGGCGUUAAACAAAGAGAAGCAAGACCGCGAGGUGGAGCAAAACUCAGAAACAACGUCCCAGUUCGGACUGCAGGCUGCAACUCGCCUGCACGAAGUCGGAAUUGCUAGUAAUCGUGGAUCAGCAUGCCACGGUGAAUAAAAGGCCGGGCCUUGUACAC
rnacentral:rRNA from 1 species